CGCACCGAGGGGCGCUGCAGCUCACCGUUGAACGCAAGGUGAGUCAGGCUUGGUGCGAUGGCUCGACGUAGCAACGGCGCCCAUUCACU
rnacentral:ncRNA from 2 species